GAAAGAUGAAAAGAACUUUGAAAAGAGAGUUAAACAGUACGUGAAAUUGUUGAAAGGGAAACGAUUGAAGCCAGUCGUACCUUCGGGUAAUCAGCCUUUCGGGUGCGAUUCUGUGGGGUUUGAUGAGCUUAACACCUUCAUGCUCUGCAUAUUCGUGCUCUUGGGUGUACUUGCCCGUGUGGUUGGUUAACAUCAAUUUUGGUGGUCAUAAAAUGACUGGAGGAAUGUAGCUUCGAUCUUGUAUUGAAGUGUUAUA
rnacentral:rRNA from 1 species